CCUACGGGUGACAGCAGUGAGGAAUAUUGGUCAAUGGACGCAAGUCUGAACCAGCCAUGCCGCGUGCAGGAAGAAGGUGCUAUGCAUUGUAAACUGCUUUUAUACGGGGGCAAUGACAGAUACGUGUAUCUGGAUGAAAGUACCGUAUGAAUAAGGAUCGGCUAACUCCGUGCCAGCAGCCGCGGUAAUACGGAGGAUCCGAGCGUUAUCCGGAUUUAUUGGGUUUAAAGGGUGCGUAGGCGGUCAGGUAAGGUAGGGGUGAAAGCUCGAUGCUCAACAUCGAAACCGCCUUUGAUACUGUCUGACUAGAGUGGAGGUGCAGUAUGCGGAAUGUGUGGUGUAGCGGUGAAAUGCUUAGAUAUCACACAGAACCCCGAUUGCGAAGGCAGCAUUCC
rnacentral:rRNA from 1 species